AAAUGGCAUUGCUUUGGCAGUUUGUGGUAUUGGCUAAUCAUCAACGCAGGAAAAGCAGAGAGCAGCAUCUAAAGCCUGAUUCAGCAGCUCAACUUUGUUGAAGGCAAUUUGCAUAUAAAUAAGCAUCCUCAUUGUCACCAAGAAUACAGGAUGAGGGAAUAAAUUGGAUAAUUGACAAUGUGAGGCAGAGACGCUUAUAAACGCCUGCCAUGUACUUUGCCAGGCCUGCAGUGCUGGCAGGGAAUUGUCCCUGCAAAUUAUUACACUUUUAGUGCAUGGAUUUGAUUACAAAGCUCUGGACAGGCUACACGGUUCAUGUCAAUGGCACAUGCAAAUCUCCUGACAGAAAGAUUGGAAUAGAAUAUGACACUUCGCUAAAUUCAUAUCUCCUCUACUGGAAUAUUCCUGAGGGGACUCGACAGAGUUGAGUCUUGGACAACCAUGUCACUGUGAAUCUGUUUCUUGGAAGAACCCCAG